rnacentral:rRNA from 1 species
UGGGGAAUAUUGCACAAUGGGCGAAAGCCUGAUGCAGCAACGCCGCGUGAGUGAUGAGGGCCUUCGGGUUGUAAAGCUCUGUCUUUUGGGACGAUAAUGACGGUACCAAAGGAGGAAGCCACGGCUAACUACGUGCCAGCAGCCGCGGUAAUACGUAGGUGGCAAGCGUUGUCCGGAUUUACUGGGCGUAAAGGAUGCGUAGGCGGAUUUUUAAGUGAGAUGUGAAAUACCCGGGCUUAACUUGGGUGCUGCAUUUCAAACUGGGAAUCUAGAGUGCGGGAGAGGAGAAUGGAAUUCCUAGUGUAGCGGUGAAAUGCGUAGAGAUUAGGAAGAACACCAGUGGCGAAGGCGAUUCUCUGGACCGUAACUGACGCUGAGGCAUGAAAGCGUGGGUAGCAAACAGGAUUAGAUACCCUGGUAGUCCACGCCGUAAACGAUGAGUACUAGGUGUAGGAGGUAUCGACCCCUUCUGUGCCGCAGUUAACACAAUAAGUACUCCGCCUGGGAAGUACGAUCGCAAGAUU